GAGGUCAAGCAAAUCCCAUAAAGUUGUUCUCAGUUCGGAUUGUAGUCUGCAACUCGACUACAUGAAGCUGGAAUCGCUAGUAAUCGUAGAUCAGCAUGCUACGGUGAAUACGUUCCCGGGUCUUGUACACACCGCCCGUCACACCACGAGAGUUUGUAACACCCGAAGCCGGUGGAGUAACCUUUUAGGAGCUAGCCGUCGAAGGUGGGACAAAUGAUUGGGGUGAAGUCGUAACAAGGUAGCCGUAUCGGAAGGUGCGGCUGGAUCACCUCCUUU
rnacentral:rRNA from 1 species